GACGAACGCUGGCGGUGUGCUUAACACAUGCAAGUCGAACGGAAAGGCCCUGCUUUUGUGGGGUGCUCGAGUGGCGAACGGGUGAGUAACACGUGAGUAACCUGCCCUUGACUUUGGUAUAACUUCAGGAAACUGGGGCUAAUACCGGAUAGGAGCUCCUGCUGCAUGGUGGGGGUUGGAAAGUUUCGGCGGUUGGGGAUGGACUCGCGGCUUAUCAGCUUGUUGGUGGGGUAGUGGCUUACCAAGGCUUUGACGGGUAGCCGGCCUGAGAGGGUGAACGGCCACAUUGGGACUGAGAUACGGCGCAGACUCCUACGGGAGGCAGCAGUGGGGAAUAUUGCACAAUGGGCGGAAGCCUGAUGCAGCAACGCCGCGUGCGGGAUGACGGCCUUCGGGUUGUAAAACGCUUUCGCCUGUGACGAAGCGUGAGUGACGGUAAUGGGUAAAGAAGCACCGGCUAACUACGUG
rnacentral:rRNA from 1 species